rnacentral:lncRNA from 1 species
CCUCACUCUAUCUGAGAGCGUCUUCAGAUUUUAAGAUAGGUGUAGCCUUAUCCUGGUUUUACAGAUGUGAAACUCUCAAAAGAUUCCCUGACUUUCUAGACUUGGUUCUUUACUGGGAACCUGAUGUUUUUCUAUAAGCCAUUGUGAUUAGGAUGACUGGUGUAGGCUUAGCUGUGUCCGAGAACUGGUCUGCUUUCUCCGAGAAGUGCACAGUGCUAGGCACGUGCUUCAGUUCUGUGGCAUAUGUGGAUUGUAGUACAUCAGCAUAGUACCUGUAGGAUGAUUGCCUUUGAUCGCUACUUUUUAAGUUUGUGUGUGAGUGUGUAAAAUUCCAGUUAAUCAACACUUCCAUUCCA